UACGUAGGGUGCAAGCGUUAAUCGGAAUUACUGGGCGUAAAGCGUGCGCAGGCGGUUAUGUAAGACAGUUGUGAAAUCCCCGGGCUCAACCUGGGAACUGCAUCUGUGACUGCAUAGCUAGAGUACGGUAGAGGGGGAUGGAAUUCCGCGUGUAGCAGUGAAAUGCGUAGAUAUGCGGAGGAACACCGAUGGCGAAGGCAAUCCCCUGGACCGGUACUGACGCUCAUGCACGAAAGCGUGGGGAGCAAACAGG
rnacentral:rRNA from 1 species